rnacentral:rRNA from 1 species
GCUUGUCUCAAAGAUUAAGCCAUGCAUGUCUAAGUAUAAACCAAUUUUAUAGUGAAACUGCGAAUGGCUCAUUAAAUCAGUUAUAAUUUACUUGAUAAUUUUAUACCAGUGGAUAACCGUGGUAAUUCUAUGGCUAAUACAUACAUUAAAGGGCCUUACUAUGUAAGGCCUGUAGUUAUUAGAUAAAAAACCAAUGCAUGCAAAUGCUUUUUUGGUGAUUCAUAGUAAACUUACAGAUCGUUGUCUUCGACGACGUGUCAAUCAAAUUUCUGCCCUAUCAACUGUCGAUGGUAAGGUAGUGGCUUACCAUGGUUGCAACGGGUGACGGGGAAUAAGGGUUCUAUUCCGGAGAGGGAGCCUGAGAAACGGCUACCACAUCCAAGGAAGGCAGCAGG